UGGGGGAUAUUGCGCAAUGGGGGCAACCCUGACGCAGCAAUGCCGCGUGAAGGAAGAAGGUCUUCGGAUCGUAAACUUUUGUCUUUGGGGACGAUAAUGACGGUACCUGAGGAGGAAGCCACGGCUAACUACGUGCCAGCAGCCGCGGUAAUACGUAGGUGGCAAGCGUUGUCCGGAUUUACUGGGUGUAAAGGGCGUGUAGGCGGGAUGGUAGGUCAGAUGUGAAAUACCCAGGCUUAACUUGGGGGCUGCAUUUGAAACCGCCGUUCUUGAGUGUCGGAGAGGGAAGCGGAAUUCCUAGUGUAGCGGUGAAAUGCGUAGAUAUUAGGAGGAACACCAGUGGCGAAGGCGGCUUUCUGGACGAUAACUGACGCUGAGGCGCGAAAGCGUGGGGAGCAAACAGG
rnacentral:rRNA from 2 species